rnacentral:rRNA from 1 species
CUACGGGCGGCUGCAGUGGGGAAUCUUAGACAAUGGGGGAAACCCUGAUCUAGCCAUGCCGCGUGAGCGACGACGGCCCUAGGGUUGUAAAGCUCUUUCAGCAGGGAAGAUAAUGACGGUACCUGCAGAAGAAGUCCCGGCUAACUCCGUGCCAGCAGCCGCGGUAAUACGGAGGGGACUAGCGUUGUUCGGAAUUACUGGGCGUAAAGCGCGCGUAGGCGGAUUGUUAAGUCGGGGGUAAAUCCCGGGGCUCAACCCCGGAACUGCCCUCGAUACUGGCAGUCUUGAGUUCGAGAGAGGUGAGUGGAAUUCCGAGUGUAGAGGUGAAAUUCGUAGAUAUGCGGAGGAACACCAGUGGCGAAGGCGGCUCACUGGCUCGAUACUGACGCUGAGGUGCGAAAGCGUGGGGAGCAAACAGGAUUAGAUACCCUAGUAGUC